GACGAACGCUGGCGGCGUGCUUAACACAUGCAAGUCGAGCGAUGAAGCUCCUUCGGGAGUGGAUUAGCGGCGGACGGGUGAGUAACACGUGGGUAACCUGCCCUGUACACACGGAUAACAUACCGAAAGGUAUGCUAAUACGAGAUAACAUGUAAUGAUCUAAUGGUCGAAACACCAAAGCGCCGGCGGUACAGGAUGGACCGGCGGCUGAUUAGCUAGUUGGUGAGGUAAUGGCUCCCCAAGGCGACGAUCGGCAGCCGACCUGAGAGGGUGAUCAGCCACAUUGGAACUGAGACACGGUCCAAACGCCUACGGGAGGCAGCAGUGGGGAAUAUUGCACAAUGGGCGAAAGCCUGAUGCAGCAACGCCGCGUGAGCGAUGAAGGCCUUCGGGUCGUAAAGCUCUGUCCUCAAGGAAGAUAAUGACGGUACUUGAGGAGGAAGCCCCGGCUAACUACGUGCCAGCCGCCGCAGUAA
rnacentral:rRNA from 1 species